rfam:Nomascus leucogenys chromosome X, whole genome shotgun sequence.
GCCGGGCGUGGUGGUGCGCGCCUGUAAUCCCAGCUACUCAGGAGGCUGAGGCAGGAGAAUCGCUUGAACCCAGGAGGCAGAGGUUGCAGUGAGCCGAGAUUGCAGGCACUGCACUCCAACCUGGGCAACAGAGAGAGACUCUGUCUCAA